rnacentral:rRNA from 1 species
UACGUAGGGCGCAAGCGUUAUCCGGAAUUAUUGGGCGUAAAGAGCUCGUAGGCGGUUUGUCGCGUCUGCCGUGAAAGUCCGGGGCUCAACUCCGGAUCUGCGGUGGGUACGGGCAGACUGGAGUGCGGUAGGGGAGAAUGGAAUUCCUGGUGUAGCGGUGGAAUGCGCAGAUAUCAGGAGGAACACCGAUGGCGAAGGCAGUUCUCUGGGCCGUAACUGACGCUGAGGAGCGAAAGCGUGGGGAGCGAACAGG